rnacentral:rRNA from 1 species
UUAAGUUAUUAAGGGCGCACGGUGGAUGCCUUGGCACUAGAAGCCGAUGAAGGACGUUACUAACGACGAUAUGCUUUGGGGAGCUGUAAGUAAGCUUUGAUCCAGAGAUUUCCGAAUGGGGAAACCCAGCAUGAGUUAUGUCAUGUUAUCGAUAUGUGAAUACAUAGCAUAUCAGAAGGCACACCCGGAGAACUGAAACAUCUUAGUACCCGGAGGAAGAGAAAGAAAAUUCGAUUCCCUUAGUAGCGGCGAGCGAAACGGGAAGAGCCCAAACCAACAAGCUUGCUUGUUGGGGUUGUAGGACACUCUAUACGGAGUUACAAAGGACGACAUUAGACGAAUCAUCUGGAAAGAUGAAUCAAAGAAGGUAAUAAUCCUGUAGUCGAAAAUGUUGUCUCUCUUGAGUGGAUCCUGAGUACGACGGAGCACGUGAAAUUCCGUCGGAAUCUGGGAGGACCAUCUCCUAAGGCUAAAUACUCUCUAGUGACCGAUAGUGAACCAGUACCGUGAGGGAAAGGUGAAAAGCACCCCGGAAGGGGAGUGAAAUAGAACCUGAAACCGUGUGCUUACAAGUAGUCAGAGCCCGUUAAUGGGUGAUGGCGUGCCUUUUGUAGAAUGAACCGGCGAGUUACGAUUUGAUGCAAGGUUAAGCAGUAAAUGUGGAGCCGUAGCGAAAGCGAGUCUGAAUAGGGCGUUUAGUAUUUGGUCGUAGACCCGAAACCAGGUGAUCUACCCUUGGUCAGGUUGAAGUUCAGGUAACACUGAAUGGAGGACCGAACCGACUUACGUUGAAAAGUGAGCGGAUGAACUGAGGGUAGCGGAGAAAUUUCAAUCGAACCUGGAGAUAGCUGGUUCUCUCCGAAAUAGCUUUAGGGCUAGCCUCAAGUGAUGAUUAUUGGAGGUAGAGCACUGUUUGGACGAGGGGCCCCUCUCGGGUUACCGAAUUCAGACAAACUCCGAAUGCCAAUUAAUUUAACUUGGGAGUCAGAACAUGGGUGAUAAGGUCCGUGUUCGAAAGGGAAACAGCCCAGACCACCAGCUAAGGUCCCAAAAUAUAUGUUAAGUGGAAAAGGAUGUGGCGUUGCCCAGACAACUAGGAUGUUGGCUUAGAAGCAGCCAUCAUUUAAAGAGUGCGUAAUAGCUCACUAGUCGAGUGACACUGCGCCGAAAAUGUACCGGGGCUAAACAUAUUACCGAAGCUGUGGAUUGUCCUUUGGACAAUGGUAGGAGAGCGUUCUAAGGGCGUUGAAGCAUGAUCGUAAGGACAUGUGGAGCGCUUAGAAGUGAGAAUGCCGGUGUGAGUAGCGAAAGACGGGUGAGAAUCCCGUCCACCGAUUGACUAAGGUUUCCAGAGGAAGGCUCGUCCGCUCUGGGUUAGUCGGGUCCUAAGCUGAGGCCGACAGGCGUAGGCGAUGGAUAACAGGUUGAUAUUCCUGUACCACCUAUAAUCGUUUUAAUCGAUGGGGGGACGCAGUAGGAUAGGCGAAGCGUGCGAUUGGAUUGCACGUCUAAGCAGUAAGGCUGAGUAUUAGGCAAAUCCGGUACUCGUUAAGGCUGAGCUGUGAUGGGGAGAAGACAUUGUGUCUUCGAGUCGUUGAUUUCACACUGCCGAGAAAAGCCUCUAGAUAGAAAAUAGGUGCCCGUACCGCAAACCGACACAGGUAGUCAAGAUGAGAAUUCUAAGGUGAGCGAGCGAACUCUCGUUAAGGAACUCGGCAAAAUGACCCCGUAACUUCGGGAGAAGGGGUGCUCUUUAGGGUUAACGCCCAGAAGAGCCGCAGUGAAUAGGCCCAAGCGACUGUUUAUCAAAAACACAGGUCUCUGCUAAACCGUAAGGUGAUGUAUAGGGGCUGACGCCUGCCCGGUGCUGGAAGGUUAAGAGGAGUGGUUAGCUUCUGCGAAGCUACGAAUCGAAGCCCCAGUAAACGGCGGCCGGAACUAUAACGGUCCUAAGGUAGCGAAAUUCCUUGUCGGGUAAGUUCCGACCCGCACGAAAGGCGUAACGAUUUGGGCACUGUCUCAACGAGAGACUCGGUGAAAUCAUAGUACCUGUGAAGAUGCAGGUUACCCGCGACAGGACGGAAAGACCCCGUGGAGCUUUACUGUAGCCUGAUAUUGAAAUUCGGCACAGCUUGUACAGGAUAGGUAGGAGCCUUUGAAACGUGAGCGCUAGCUUACGUGGAGGCGCUGGUGGGAUACUACCCUAGCUGUGUUGGCUUUCUAACCCGCACCACUUAUCGUGGUGGGAGACAGUGUCAGGCGGGCAGUUUGACUGGGGCGGUCGCCUCCUAAAAGGUAACGGAGGCGCUCAAAGGUUCCCUCAGAAUGGUUGGAAAUCAUUCAUAGAGUGUAAAGGCAUAAGGGAGCUUGACUGCGAGACCUACAAGUCGAGCAGGGUCGAAAGACGGACUUAGUGAUCCGGUGGUUCCGCAUGGAAGGGCCAUCGCUCAACGGAUAAAAGCUACCCCGGGGAUAACAGGCUUAUCUCCCCCAAGAGUUCACAUCGACGGGGAGGUUUGGCACCUCGAUGUCGGCUCAUCGCAUCCUGGGGCUGUAGUCGGUCCCAAGGGUUGGGCUGUUCGCCCAUUAAAGCGGUACGCGAGCUGGGUUCAGAACGUCGUGAGACAGUUCGGUCCCUAUCCGUCGUGGGCGUAGGAAAUUUGAGAGGAGCUGUCCUUAGUACGAGAGGACCGGGAUGGACAUACCUCUGGUGUACCAGUUGUCGUGCCAACGGCAUAGCUGGGUAGCUAUGUGUGGACGGGAUAAGUGCUGAAAGCAUCUAAGCAUGAAGCCCCCCUCAAGAUGAGAUUUCCCAACUUCGGUUAUAAGAUCCCUCAAAGAUGAUGAGGUUAAUAGGUUCGAGGUGGAAGCAUGGUGACAUGUGGAGCUGACGAAUACUAAUCGAUCGAAGACUUAAUCAA